GCUCCGUAGGUGAACCUGCGGAGGGAUCAUUACAGAGUUCUCACCCUCGCGGGUAGAUCUCCCACCCACUGUUAUCGUUACUGUGUUGCUUUGGCGGGCCGCCGGGCCCCGCUCGGCCGCCGGCUCCGGCUGGCGCGCGCCCGCCAGACGACCAGCAAACUAUGAAUGUUAGUGUCGUCUGAGUACUAUAUAAUAGUUAAAACUUUCAACAACGGAUCUCUUGGUUCUG
rnacentral:misc_RNA from 1 species